ensembl:lncRNA
GUGAAACGGCCAAAACAACAGCUGAGUGGUUUACUAACUUCUGCGAGAAGUUACGUUCAGGCUCGGAGUCUGGGUCGGAUUUUUUUUUUAUCAACAAAAUGAAAGCUAAAUUGCGAGUGUAAGACACGACCGAAAGUUGUUUCCUUGCUGCGGGACAAAUGGAACAAGCAGAGGAGCUGGAGCAGAUUGCCACAUGGUUCAGGCAGGAGGGACUGGCCCCUGACUCCACUAAGGAGGCUCAGCUGUGCUUGCUAUGGCGUGCCCUCCAGCACACAAGAAGCCGUCUAAGCAAUGUGACGAGGGACCUGGAAAUCCACCGCUCAAAACACUUGGCAGAGAUGGCCGAGGUACGCAAGUCGCUGGAGCAGAUUCGGAUCUUUACAGAACACAAAGAUGUUUUGGCUCAGGAGAUUCAGAAUGAGAACGAUCAGCUUCAGGUGCAGCUGCACCGCCUAGUGUCCCUCCAAGAUGCCCAGAUAAGUGAGGUGGCUAAAAUGCUGUACCAGCAGGGCCUCACAGAGUUGAUCCACAGCAGCCCCAGUGAGCAGGUGGCUUACCUCCUGGUGGAGAGGGCUUCCCUACUUGAGACGAGUGUUGAUCCUGACAACCUGACGGCAGACGGAAACACAGCCAGCCUGCUGGGGGCAGAAGCACAAAGGAUGAACACCAACACACACCAGUGUACCCACAAGGGGGCGGCAUGUCAUGGGCAGAGCGCUUGGAAAAAACUAUUUGGACUCCACAAGGCUUUACAGAGCAAACAUACGUUUAUUCCUGCUGAGGCCAGACAUUCGGCUUGCCGGUCAGGUAGUUUGGAGAAGGAGUGUUCCCGUCUGGAGCGGGACCUGGAGGAGGGCUCCCGACGGCUGGCCAUGGCCCACAAUGAGAUCCGGCGCUUGACUGAUGAGCUGGAGUCUGCUCAUCUGACCCAGAGAGCUUAUGAGCCUGAGCUGCAGUCAGCACAGCAGGAGGUGGAGCAGCUCAGACAGGAAGUAGAAAAACUGAAGAAAUAUGGUGAGAGCUUUUAUCGGGUGUAUUCAAAGCUAUUUUCAAUGAACAGCCUGAAAUCGAUGGAAGUGUAAAGGAAAGAGAAGUCUGUGUGUGGUGAGUGUGGUGAGGAAAUGAU